AUAAAUUAAUUGGCGGUACCUUUUCCCUCUUUUUCCCCAACCCCACUACCUCCUCUAAAAAAGAAACCAUUACACUUCUUCAAAAAACACUUCUUCCCUAGAAACUACUGUCUGCUCUCAUCCAGAACUGGCAAUUGCUAUCAAGAGUAUAUUUCUGGGAGAAGAAAUAACUUAUCGUCACCCCCGUCGGCAUCAAUUGCUCAUCUUAGAGUUCCUUCUCAUCAAGGUAAGGUUAAAAAAUUAUCUUUUUACAUGUUAAUUUUGGUCAAAUCUGUAGGGUUGUGAUUGCACUUGUACCAAAAUGGAUGUUGGAUUUGCUUUGUUGAAGAAGAAUCAGAAUAAUACCCUACGCAUUUUCCGUCACAGCCAAAAAAAAUACAGCGAAAAGAUUUGCUUCUCAAAUCUAAAAGUAUGAGCAACCAAAGAAACUGAAAGAGCUUUAACUGCUUCAAAAACAAAGCUUGUGUGCAAAUUUUAAUGUGCCACUAAUUAAUAAGCUUAAUUGGGAUAAGAAUUAUAAAAUCUAACAAUGAGUAUUGUAAUUUGUAAGUGAUACGAAUCUUACCAGAGUUUCUAUUAAUUUGCCUUUGGUAUUUAUCCUUGAAAUUGUCAUUCCUUCUUUUAUUUUCUUUUAUCAUUGUUAAAUAACACUUUCAGGAUUUUAUAACUAUCAAAUUUGGGAUGUCUUUGUUUUCCUAAUACGCAAAUUAGCUAUUAAUAUCUUGGUUUACAAAAUUCAUUUAUUUUCCAAUUGGUUUCUAAAAAUUUAGGCGAAGAAAUCUCUUUGCCUGAAAGUUGUACAGUGGUGCUGAAGGUGGAAGUUUUAUAGUAAUUUGCAUAGUGUUGGGUGCUACCAUAUAAAAUAUAUCUAUUGAGUUUUAAGUAUCUAUUUGGCGGGUUCGAGUUUUUAUACAACAACAACAACAUACCCAGUGAAAUCUACAUGUGGAGUCUGGGAAGGGUAGAGUGUACGCAAACAAGCCCCUACCUUCAGAGGUAGGAAGGUUGUUUCUGAUAGACCCUCGACUCAUAAAAAAAAAAUCAGCGUGUUUAAGUUUUUGUAUCACCAAAUUAUUGUGUUUCCAGCAAUUUGUUGGAACAAAUCGUUUGAUGGUUUUUUAUGCUUUGUUUAAUUUUCUUUGUACAAUUUGUUUUGGAGAUCUUUUGUUUAGUAGUCAAGACUUAUGAAAAACUUACAUGCUAUAUGUUCUUUUUCCUCUUAUCUUUUUGUCUAUGUGGAUAAGUUAAAGUUAAAUAGAAUUAGCAUUUUUCGAUGUCAUAAUUGGGCUAAAUAUAAAAUGUGUAUUUGUUUUUUACUCCAUCAGCUAUUUACAGUACCUACAAGGAAGAAAUCAAUGAAAUUGGUAGUAACAUAGGAAAGGGGAACACUUUUAGAUGUUUGAACUUCUAAACUUUCUAUCUAUCUUGCUUUGUCUGCCUUUGAAGUGAAUGGCUCAAUUCUUUCAGUGUGCCCCUACAACGAUGGAUUAUAUUGUUCCUUGAUUUUUACCUCAAACUUGGGAAUUUCUUAAAUCAAUGAAAGUUCUUUUCUUUGUUCAGAUUCAUUAUUUCGUAUCAAAAGAAAAACGAAAGAUCUUUACUUUGUAUAUAAUCCCAUGAGAUAAUUGUCUGGAGCUUGAAUUUUAGAUCUAAAUUCUGCACCCUCUGAUUUUUUGAAUGAAUUAUAUGGCUUACCUGGAAAGGUCGGGAUCCGUUCAUAAUGUUGUAUCAUCACCUUGUGCAUAUCUCUUAGUAUAUUCUCUUUGCUAGAUUUUACAUUGCUGCAUCUUUCUAAAUCUGUCCCUUAUAUUCGUCAAUCUGUUAAGGCCACACUAACUAGUUUUCAUCAUACUAUUCCAUCUAUUUAAUCUCUAGCGUGAUUCACACGAAUCCGAGGAGAUUGUAGCUCGAUGGCAUCAAAUUUCAACUGCAAAAGUUCGAUAAAUUGUUUUGUGACUAGAGAAUUAAUAUUUCUUUUGUGAGGAAGUAGUAUUUUAUGAAGAUGGUGAGCCUAAGAUAGAUGGUGACCUGGAGACCUGAAGUACUGCAUUCGCACAGCUCCUCAUGUCAGCUUCAAGAGGGUAGGAAAUGACCUAUACACAACUGUUACUAUUAUUCUGAUCAUGAAUAUGAAGUCUGAACAACCUAUCCUCGAAUAAAGUGCAAAGCAAGUUAAAGUAUAAGAAGUUGAUAAAGUUUUGUUAGGGGUGAUCUAAAGAUGUCUUAUGUUCAUAUCUUUGGAAUUCUAUCCUCUCUUUCUAGGAGUUGAUAAAAAUAGUGUCAUACAAUUUGGAUGGAUACUUUUUUGGCAAUGUAAUGCUUUAGUUAUUUGUAUUGGCAGUGAAAUUUGAUAUAGUUAUUUUAUUAUUUGGUAUAUUUGGAUGUGUGGAAGUAUAUGAAGUAAUGAUUCCUUUAUGAAAUUUUUGUAAUUAUAUUUAAUAGAAUUUCCCAUUUGCGAAAGAAAAUUUUGUUGUCCAGUAGUUGAAA